AACUGGACUGCUGGUUCCAGAUGAAGCCUGCCCUUUCCCAACUGAUUAUUUCUGAAUAAAGCCCACCUGCACACUGGGAGGACAGGGUGGAGCCUCAGGAAGUUCAUACCAUUUGUAGGGGGUAGGAGCCUGGCCUCUCCUGUUCCUGUGUGGUGACCUGAGAAUCAAUUUGUGAGGCAGGAAACCUGCUAGCAGGACUCUCGCUUUGCUGAGUUAAUUUUUCCUUUUUCCUUUCCACCCAAUAAGUUCCAUUUUCCUCACCCUUCUAUGUAUCCACAAGCCUAAUCAUUCCUGGUUGUGUGACAAGAGGCCAGUUUUAGCUGAACUAAGGAGAAAGUUCUGCAACAUUUUUGGCAUCCAGAUAUGGGGCUCGAGGAAAGUUCUCCAGGGUUGAUUUUAGGAGCAGAAGACCACAGCCUGAACUUGAUUAUCAUCUUGGCAGCUACAGAGGAAACCAUGCCCUUUCCGUGUGGCUAGAAUUCGUCACGUGAAUUUUUAAAUUGCAAGGGAGAUGAUUGAUGAAGUCUUCCACGUGCCAGGUGAUCAUAAGUAAUGUUUUACACUGUUCCAUCAUUAUCAAGUAUUCAGUGCGAUAGCUGAGAAAUCUGAGACCAUUCUAAUCUUCAUUAUAUUGGUACAAGAAAGGUGAUUAUAAACAUUUACAUUUGUAGUUGGGGAUGAAAGAUUUGAACUGUGCCUACCAGAGGGUCCUGAUCUGAAAAGAUCUAUGCAGAAGAAGGAUACCAUAUUGUUGACUUGAUCCAUUCAGAUUUUAGAAGCCAGCUGUCUGUACCCCACAAGUCUCGGGUUUGCAUAUCCACUAUUGCUGCUCAUAGCUCAGCAUUUCUACACGUUUCACUCUCCUAGACACAGCCAUCUGCUUGUACCUGCUUAUGCGUAUAAAGGUCUAUGCCUUAA
rnacentral:lncRNA from 10 species